rnacentral:lncRNA from 1 species
AAAAAUGUAAACAGUAGGUACAACAAGGAUUCUACUAACACAAGUUAUAUAUCUGAAACAUGCAUGUUACAAGGAAGCUAACAAAAGUGGUUUUACAAUUUUUAGUGCACUAUAUGAUUUAUAAAACAUUUAAUGGCCUUUAGACAAAAUAAAAUAUAGCACAAAAGACAUGGCAGCAACAAGCACAUACUCAACUCUAAAACAAACUAGACUUCACAAGGAAUCCAACACAACAUGAAUCACAUUUUUAGCAUUUUUCUACCAGUUUCUAUGCAUUUUUCAAAGUUGUCAACAUAGUAAAACUAGUCAUUUUCAAACAAGUCCGAAACUAUUUGGAAGCUGCCCCCUGGAAAACAUUUUCCCCUCAUAGAUCUACCCUUCUCGUAACACUCUACCGCCUACGUUUUGCUAUCUAGCCCCUAGAAACAAUCCCACCUCAAACAUAAACCCAUGACUUUAUGGAAAACCCCCUAGAACUUCUAUUCACAAAGCAAUCGGGUCCUUCUUCAACCUUGGGACAACACCACGCAUAGAUCAUAGGCAUGUCACGCAUGGGCACACUGGGGCUGGCCAUGGGAAAGGGGGAAAGGCAGCAGGGCGCUAGGAGGAGGGGCGGCGGCACCAUGCCUAGGCCAAGGGUCUUCCCUGGCGUGGCGCAGGUAGGGAAGGAAACAACGGCACACAGGGGCUCUGCGCGACGGCGGUGAAUGUCAUUGACAUCGUUGGGAACGGGCGAGGAAACUUAAGGCAAAUGGAAAAUAGGUGCAAGCUUCACGUUUAGGAGCUCACCUAGGUUCCAUUUGAACACUUGGUUGAGGACGAGGACAACCGGAGGAGGGGCGCCACAGUGAGGCAUGGGCGGCGGUGGGUGAAGUUCUGAAAGUUGGGGGAAACUCGGAUUCUGGCCAGUAGGGUGGAUGGCGGGUGAUGAGGAGGGGCUGAGGGUGGAGCUGAGGGAGUGGCGCAUCUCUAGGCGAUAGGAAUCGAAGGGAGAGGGCCGAAGUUGGGAGGAAUCAAGCGAGUGACGGGAAGAGCUCAGGAGCUCGGUUCACUGGUAAUGGAGGAUUGGGGGUGGGAGGUGGUUCUGGAGGGGCUGGUGCUCGGGUUUUAUUGGUGGGGCGAGGAAAUGAUAAGAACGGGCGAGAUGAUAAGGAUGACACGGUGAUGCUGCUUGGCAUUGGCAGUGAGGGGCGGCGCCGGAGGUGUUGCGCCGGGUGGCAGCCAUGCCUGUUCAAUGGAGGGGCUGCCCAACCAAGGGGCGGGAGGCGUGGGAGAGAGAGGGAGGGCACAUGGGAGGAUGCUCGGGUGGCCUAUGGGUGGAGGAGGAGCCCUCCAGGGGCUGGGAAGGGGCCAAUCCGGUGAUAUUUGGGCUGCGUGCCAGUGAUGGGCGUGCAGGUGGCGAGAGGUUGAAGAUGGGGCGACUGCCAUGUGGGCCCGCAGAUUUUUUAGCUAUUAAAUUUUGCUUGCUUAAAUAACCUAACUAUAGGUGUCCAAAAAUUCUCCAAAAAUACUCAUUGGAAAGAUAAGAUCACCAAUAACACAAUGCAACAAGAAUGAACUCAAAAGCUAUUACAGUUUGCACACAAUCGAGAAAACAAAAUAGCUAAAUUUGAAUUUUAAAAGAAUUUUUGGCACAAGAAAAGAGCUCUGAAAAAUUUAGUAAAAAUAUUUUAAAAUCACUAAAGUGUAUCUAGUAUUUGAAUAAAAUAAUUGAGUGUAUAGUGGUGUAGUAAACAUUGGGAUUUCUUUACAAAUUUUAUUUUUUUUCAACAAUAAAUAAUAAAUUUC